AUCCUGGGGCUGGAGUAGGUCCCAAGGGUUGGGCUGUUCGCCCAUUAAAGCGGUACGCGAGCUGGGUUUAGAACGUCGUGAGACAGUUCGGUCCCUAUCUGCGCGCGUAGGAAGUUUGAGAGGAUCUGACCCUAGUACGAGAGGACCGGGUUGGACGAACCUCUGGUGUGUCAGUUGUUCCGCCAGGAGCACCGCUGAUUAGCUACGUUCGGGAUGGAUAACCGCUGAAAGCAUCUAAGCGGGAAGCCGGCCUCAAGAUGAGACUUCCAUACCUUCGGGGUGAGAGGCUCCCAGCCAGACUACUGGGUUGAUAGGCCGGAUGUGGAAGCGUAGUAAUACGUGAAGCUGACCGGUACUAAUAAGCCGAUGACUUGAUAAC
rnacentral:ncRNA from 1 species